AACGAACGCUGGCGGCAGGCUUAACACAUGCAAGUCGAGCGCCCCGCAAGGGGAGCGGCAGACGGGUGAGUAACGCGUGGGAAUCUACCCAUCUCUACGGAAUAACGCAUGGAAACGUGUGCUAAUACCGUAUACGUCCUUCGGGCGAAAGAUUUAGCGGAGAUGGAUGAGCCCGCGUUGGAUUAGCUAGUUGGUGGGGUAAAGGCCUACCAAGGCGACGAUCCAUAGCUGGUCUGAGAGGAUGAUCAGCCACACUGGGACUGAGACACGGCCCAGCCUCCACCGGGCGGCAGCAGUGGGGAAUAUUGGACAGUGGGCGCAAGCCUGAUCCAGCCUUGCCGCGUGAGUGAUGAAGGCCCUAGGGUUGUAAAGCUCUUUCACCGGUGAAGAUAAUGACGGUAACCGGAGAAGAAGCCCCGGCUAACUUCGUGCCAGCAGCCGCCGUAAAAC
rnacentral:rRNA from 1 species